UACUCCUACGGGAGGCAGCAGUUGGGAAUCUUGGACAAUGGGGGAAACCCUGAUCCAGCCAUGCCGCGUGAGUGAUGAAGGCCUUCGGGUUGUAAAACUCUUUCGACGGGGACGAUAAUGACGGUACCCGUAGAAGAAGCUCCGGCUAACUUCGUGCCAGCAGCCGCGGUAAU
rnacentral:rRNA from 1 species